GGCAGCGGGUGGCGCCUGCGCAGUGUCUGGAGAGGGGCUGGGAGCAGGAAGGUGGGAGUGGUUGAGAAACGGCGCUUUGAGUGGCUGUUGCCACUGUGUGCCUCAAAGACAAUCAUCCAGACUAUUCAGACCAUUACGCCUACACUAUUUGGUUUGUUAUUCAGCUGUAAUAGCUGGAAUAUUCUAUUGUGAAACCAUGCCGUCACGACUUGGUGUGAAGGGGAGACUGGCUGCUUAACUUCUACUAUCCGACAGGAACCUUUGCUGCCCAGGAAUGGAGCACCGCCAGGGGGUGUUAUGAGCACCCGUGUUCUGCUUUAGAACGUAGAAAUGAGUUCUAUGCUCUAUCCAGUCCUUUUUCCUGGGACUGGGAGAGAAACCAACGCGAGGUGGGGGUUGGCCUCUUCUCCCAGUCUAUUUAUAAACUUAAUGGAACCAAGUGAAGCAAGAAUAAAUAUUUUCCUGAUGAAUGGGGAUGUUUAAACCUCAUAUAAUACAACUGGACAACGCUUCUCAAUGUGCUGAUUGUAAAAAUAGCACAAUCCUUAUUCGCUGAUAGAUUCAACUAUUGUAAGGAGCCAUUGACAGAGGUGAAGUAAGAAGACUGCAGGUAAUGUCCGCCUUUUCUUUUUGAAGCUUUAUCAUAUUUUUCUGUUGUAUUUUACAGGCAGUGGGUAAUGCUUGCAAGUUAAUGAGAUAUUAGAAUUAUUUCAAACAAGUGGUACGAGUUUCAGUACCAAAACUAAUAACAGGUAUUGAUUACAGCUAACAGGUAUUGCUACAGUGAAAGAUGACAUGCAUGUAAGAAAUGUUUUUAGAUCUAUUAUUACAGGUUUGGUUAUAAACAUUCCCUCUUUAACAAGACUUGUAUCUAAAAUGUCGUUGAUGUUUAGUUGCAUCUAAAUGACCUCUGAUUAAAGAAUACUAAUGGGCCUCUUUCACCACUGAAUCGUACUUGUCGACAGCAGUCAGCUAUACAUGUGGGAAAUAAGCCAUCAGAGUAUGGCAGACAUUUCUGGAAAAGUGGUUUCCAGUAAUCUUUGGUAAUUUUGUGAGCGUGCAGAGUAACUGGGCAGUUUGCAAAGCAGGCACAUUUUUUUUUGAUGUAUUUUAUUCAACAAUGGUAUAUAUGUUACAAAUACCUAUUUUUGUGAUUGACUUAUAUGCAGUGACUACACAGCAAUUAUUGAUAGAUACAUAAAUACAUAAAGAACAAAGAGUUGUUUUACAAAAACUUAUGAUGCACGUGAUUUUAUCAGCUCUAGUAUUGAAUGCACUUUUUGUUUCACGUGGAAGUUUAUCUAUUCAGUGACUGCUAUGACUGAUUGAAAAGAAUGGGAAAACCUUUAUAGAGAAGACCAAUAAAAAUGCAUUCGUUUUCAUGUAUGUAUA